GCUGGAUAGAACGAAAUCGGAAAGAGAGAACGACAGAGAGGCAAUGCUGGCAGUAUCAACGUCCACUACUAGCAAGUACCACCAUCGAAGCUAGCACUGCCAUUGAGAGGAAGUAGAGGAAGAGGUGGAGGAACAGCAGUAGGGUUGUUCCAAGCGUAGAGGGAUUCACUUUAUUGGAGAGUGUUGCCAUCGACAGCCUCGCCCUGUUGGCUGUAGGGGCUCAGAACUAAGCCGUGCGAACAAUGGCAGACCCCCAUGGCGGAUGGCGAGAGAAAGUAAAAAUUAACGAGAAUUCAAGCUCGGCCGGAGCCAUUGAAAAAUUGCCCGGCGUGGCCGCGCGGACCUAGCUGAGCUAUGAAGGAGGUGGCGUCGCUACGAGCCAGUAGCCCUUUUAGACUUGUCGACGGGCACAUUUUUUUACCUGCCUUCUCUUUACUUGUCUCAUAUUCGCGUUUUUAACUUGGUUUAUUUUUAGCAUAAAUGACGAAACGGCGACAACUUCGUUGCAAUACUGUCAACCCUAUAGAAAAAAAAAGAAA